CGCCAAAGCUCGGCACCGAACGGAACGGUAAACUUGUAAACGGUAAGGCAAGGCAAGGUAGCGCCGGUGACGCAACGGACGUGCGUGCAGUCAGCGUCUUUGAGCGAAUGUAUCGGUGCACAGCUAUCGUAUCGAUUGCACGAGCUGGGUAUCGAAAGGUUUCUGUAACACAUCGAUAUCAUUCGUUUAAUAAGCUUUUGCGUUUUCACACUUUUUAUGUUACGUGGAGAUCUCGGGAACUACAAAAACUAGAAUAUUGAUAUAAAGAGUGUACAUUCUUGCUUUAGUUGACCGUCGUAUGUGGAGUGUGACUAUUCAACGCAAGUGUGUGCUUCGGUCAUCAGAACAGCCAGACAGUUGACUGGCAUACGCUACACUUGACAAUUUUCCUUCUUUUCUAUGGAUUCUCCUGGUGAUCGGAAGCAAGCGUUGGUUCUGCA